rnacentral:rRNA from 1 species
UGUUGAUGACGCUGAGGGUCCACCUGUUCCCAUACCGAACACAGAAGUUAAGCUCAGUGGUGCCGAAAAUACUUGGCUGGUGACGGCCCGGGAAGAUAGGGAGAUGC